rnacentral:rRNA from 1 species
CGAGCGGACAGAAGGGAGCUUGCUCCCGGAUGUUAGCGGCGGACGGGUGAGUAACACGUGGGUAACCUGCCUGUAAGACUGGGAUAACUCCGGGAAACCGGAGCUAAUACCGGAUAGUUCCUUGAACCGCAUGGUUCAAGGAUGAAAGACGGUUUCGGCUGUCACUUACAGAUGGACCCGCGGCGCAUUAGCUAGUUGGUGGGGUAAUGGCUCACCAAGGCGACGAUGCGUAGCCGACCUGAGAGGGUGAUCGGCCACACUGGGACUGAGACACGGCCCAGACUCCUACGGGAGGCAGCAGUAGGGAAUCUUCCGCAAUGGACGAAAGUCUGACGGAGCAACGCCGCGUGAGUGAUGAAGGUUUUCGGAUCGUAAAGCUCUGUUGUUAGGGAAGAACAAGUGCGAGAGUAACUGCUCGCACCUUGACGGUACCUAACCAGAAAGCCACGGCUAACUACGUGCCAGCAGCCGCGGUAAUACGUAGGUGGCAAGCGUUGUCCGGAAUUAUUGGGCGUAAAGGGCUCGCAGGCGGUUUCUUAAGUCUGAUGUGAAAGCCCCCGGCUCAACCGGGGAGGGUCAUUGGAAACUGGGAAACUUGAGUGCAGAAGAGGAGAGUGGAAUUCCACGUGUA